GAUGAAGAACGUAGUAAAAUGCGAUACUUGGUGUGAAUUGCAGAAUCCCGUGAACCAUCGAGUUUUUGAACGCAAGUUGCGCCCGAAGCCUUUUGGCCGAGGGCACGUCUGCCUGGGCGUCACGCAUCGCGUCGCCCCCCACAAUUCUCCGUAAAGGGAACAUGUGUUUUGGGGGCGGAUAUUGGUCUCCCGUGCUCAUGGCGUGGUUGGCCGAAAUAGGAGUCCUUUCGAUGGACGCACGAACUAGUGGUGGUCGUAAAAACCCUCGUCUUUUGUUUCGUGCUGUUGGUCGCAAGGUAAACUCUUUAAAAACCCCAAUGUGUCGUCUCUUGACGACGCUUUGACCGCGACCCCAGGUCAGGCGGGACUACCCGCUGAGUUUAAGCAUAUCAAUAAGCGGAGGA
rnacentral:misc_RNA from 1 species